GUCUGUGAUGCCCUUUGAUGUUCUGGGCUGCACGCGCGCUACACUGACGGGGGCAGCGAGUGUCCUUGGCCGGAAGGUCUGGGGAAUCUUGAAACCCUGUCGUGCUGGGGAUCGAGCAUUGCAAUUAUUGCUCGUCAACGAGGAAUUCCUAGUAAGCGCGUGUCAUCAGCACGCGCUGAUUACGUCCCUGCCCUUUGUACACACCGCCCGUCGCUACUACCGAUUGAAUGGCUUAGUGAGGUCUCUGGACGCUGAGUAAGGGGGAAAUCUCUUUGGUUGGCGGAAAUUGCCCAAACUUGGUCAUUUAGAGGAAGUAAAAGUCGUAACAAGGUUUCCGUAGGUGAACCUGCGGAAGGAUCAUUAACAAAAGUGGGUGUGGGAUUGAGGCGAAAGCGUCAUCCCCACAUGAGCCCCGAGCUGGGUCCGCCCAGCUCUGGACGAUGCGGAAGCGCAUCAAAUGUACGCUUGAUCGUUUGACAUGUCACCUAUCAAAAAUUAUGACAACUUUUAACAAUGGAUCUCUUGGCUCUUGCAACGAUGAAGAACGCAGCGAAAUGCGAAACGUAAUGCGAAUUGCACGAACCUGUGAGUCAUCGAGUCUUUGAACGCACCUUGCACUGUGUGAGCAAUUGCACAGUAUGCCUGUUUGAGAAGCAUCAAGAAAAAGGUCCUGUUUAGGGAGUUGUUGGGUGAUGCGGUACUGCAUCCCCGAUUAAAGCGAGUAUGGGGGAGGUCUGACCAACGCUUGGACAAUCUGUGUGUCAGGGCGCAAGCCAUGUCGCAGUGAGUCUAAAGACAGUUCAGACAUCACUCAACUCACAUCACUCAUCAAUUCGCUCUCAAAUCAGGUAGGACUACCCGCUGAACUUAA
rnacentral:rRNA from 1 species